ACUACCGUGGCUUAACGGAUAAGUUCCCCUUGUGGGAGGAUGGAGGUUCGAUUCCUCCCGGUAGUC